ensembl:lncRNA
CACCGAGUUACCUCCUCUCUCUGUCUGCCUGCGUGCUGCUGACUGUCACCAACACACGCGUGACAGCCACAGCCACCACCGGUGAGUAUUGUCACGGCUGGACAGACCAAAGAAAUAACCGGAGAGAGGGCUUCUACUGCCCCGAGAAAGACGACAGGAAAAGUGCUAUAAUAUGCUGCGGAAGAUGCGAAUAUCGAUAUUGUUGUUCUGAUGGUACCGCCAGACUGGAUCAGGGAACCUGUACGGACGCCGACCCCGACCGAAAGUUACCGAGUAAGGCCGAAGUUGUGGCAGACGAAUUUAUCGCUGGAGACUAUCCUGUCUAUGUUCCCUUCCUGAUUGUUGGCUCCGCCUUCCUGGCCCUCCUUCUCUUCGGAGGCUCCGCCUGCUUCCUCUACAGCCGCCAAUCAUCCUCACAGUCUGUUGCCGUCGCUACCACAGCCACUGCCAUGACAACCACGCUCUCCUGCAGCUCCUCCACCUCCCUGUGUCCCCAUGGCGACCAUACCCUUGGAGACCAACCCAGGUGCCGUGGCGACAGCUGUCAUCACCAACACCUCUGUCGUGGCAACCAGCCCGGCAGCAGUGAGCGUCCAGCUGUGGAGGGCAUCACCGCCGCCGUGAGGCGUCCAGCCGCCCAGCCGCUGCCACCCUGUGUCCACUGCAGUGCCCAACACGCCAACCAACACGCCCACCAACACGCCAACCAGCACGUCGGCCACGGCUACCCUCUCAACCCCCCCACCCACCUCUCCUUCCCCCAACACUUCAACACCCACCCACAGGCUGGCUCCGCCCUCUCCAAAGCCGCCAGCCCCGCCCCCUACGCCACCAUGCCCCGCCCAGACUCCGCACAGGACACGCCCCCCUGGCCGCUAACGCCCUUCCCCAAAUUACCCAUCAGCCCCCAGCAGCUGCCCCCAGGCGUGCUGAUCCCUGCCGCUCUGCUCCGCGGCUACAUCCUGCCCUCCCAGCCCACGCCCACACCCACCCCCACGGCCGCCCAGAGACAGUACCGCAUCCCCUCACCGCCGCCCAGCCUCACGCUCACACACCACCCCAUGGUGUAGAGUGUGUGUGUGUGUGUGUGUGUGUGUGUGUGUGUGUGUGUGUUUGUGAUGUAGAGCCUGUGUGUGUGUGUGUGUGUGUGUGUGUGUGUGUGUGUGUGUGGGUGUGGUGUAGAGCUGUGUGUGUGUGUGUGUGUGUGUGUGUGUGUGUGUGUGUGUGUGUGUGUGGUGUAGAGCCUGUGUGUGUGUGUGUGUGUGUGUGUGUGUGGGUGUGGUGUAGAGCCUGUGUGUGUGUGUGUGUGUGUGUGUGUGUGUGUGUGUGUGUGUGUGUGUGUGGUGUAGAGCCUGUGUGUGUGUGUGUGUGUGUGUGUGUGUGGUGUAGAGCCUGUGUGUGUGUAGAGCCUGUGUGUGUGUGUGGUGUAGAGCCUGUGUGUGUGUGUGUGUGUGUGUGUGUGGUGUAGAGUGUGUGUGUGUGUGUGUGUGUGUGCGUGCGCGUGCGCGUGUUUAAGGCAGUCUAUACAUUCAUGAUUAAUCACACUAAAAUGUAUAAUAAUGCAUCAAAACAGGCAUCAAGGAUAUCAGGCUAACUUCACGCUAACAAAACUCGCAGCAUGAUGUCUUUAUGAAGCACACACACACACACACACACACACGCCAAAUGAUAUCUUUAUGAAGCAGACACACACACGCCGCAUGAUGUCUUUAUGAAGCAGAGACACACACACACACACACACGCCGCAUGAUGUCUUUAUGAAGCAGACACACAAACACACACACACACACACACACACACACACACACACACACACGCCGCAUGAUGUCCUUAUGGAGCAGAGAUGUUGUAUACUGCAGUGUAUAAUUCACUCAUCUAUAUUUAUGUUUGACAUCAAAUAAAAAAGUCAUUUUGUGAUCACAUUUUUUUUGUAAGCAAGGAAGCAAUGUUAAUGACACCUAGCGGUCACAAUGGACGUUACAUGGC